CAACAGCGAUAAGUUAUACAUUGAUUUACCAAAACAAACUCUAAAUCUCUUCGUUGUUCAUCGUCGAAAAUGUCGUGCUGUGGUGGAAACUGUGGAUGCGGCUCUGGCUGCAAGUGCGGAAAUGGCUGUGGAGGAUGCAAGAUGUUCCCUGACAUGAGCUUUUCAGAGGCCACCGCUACCAUCGAGACCUUCGUAGUCGGUUUCGCUCCUCACAAGAUGUCUUUCGAGGUAGCAGAGAUGGGAGCUGAGAAUGGCUGCAAGUGCGGUGACAACUGCACCUGCGAUCCAUGCAACUGUAAAUGAGCAGCAGCUGCUCAAGUCUUCUCAAGUGGAGAUUCUGUUUGAGUACUAAUAGUAUGCAUCCUUCUUAAUAACAAUUAUCAAAUCUCCAAGCGUUUGCGUUCUGUCGUUGCGUCUUUAAGAGUCGAUUGUAGCGUUCCUUUUGAAUAAUAGCAGUCAUGGAGUUGUGGAAAAACUUAUAUGAUCUGUUGUUAUGCUUCAGUCGGUGAUCUUCUUAGUUUAAGAUCUCUUUGUUUAUCCAUGUCUGUUUAGUGUUUGCUUCGCUUUAAGAAAUUAAAAAUGGUACGUGCUAAUUUAAGAGAGUUUCUGUUGUUAUCCAUAUCUAUGGUUAAAAAUGAAGAACAGAGUUCGAAUCCUUCUCUAAGAUCUUGACGUGAUAAAUAUAUCCGAG
rnacentral:misc_RNA from 1 species